rnacentral:rRNA from 1 species
CAAUAGCGUAUAUUAAAGUUGUUGCAGUUAAAAAGCUCGUAGUUGGACCUUGGACCUGGACAGGCGGUCCGCCUCACGGCGAGUACUGUCUUGCUGGGUCCUUCCUCUUGGUGAUCUGUUGUUUCGGCAGCAGGGAACCAGGACCUUUACUUUGAAAAAAUUAGAGUGUUCAAAGCAGGCUCGACGCCGGAAUAUAUUAGCAUGGAAUAAUAAAAUAGGACGUGCGGUUCUAUUUUGUUGGUUUUUGGAAUCGCCGUAAUGAUUAAUAGGGACAGUCGGGGGCAUUAGUACUCACAUGCUAGAGGUGAAAUUCUUGGAUUUUGUGAAGACUAACUUCUGCGAAAGCAUUUGCCAAGGAUGUUUUCAUUAA